rnacentral:misc_RNA from 1 species
AUAAAGUGCAGCCUUUAAUGCGUGGUUGAGUUGAGAUGGUGGCAAUUAUCUUGACAGAAGCUCUAUUUGGAGCUUCACUUUGUACUGAUUUCAAUGGAGUUUUUGGUUCAAAUUACCUCCGUUGCCCUUGUUUUUCAUCAGGAUUUUCAAUUUCCGAGACACCCACUUUAGAAAUUUCUCUGGGAAAGAAAAAGGUUAAGAAGCAGAAGAGGAAUGCGGGUUCCAUUGUAGUUUCUUG